UGGGGUUGCACAGAGUCGGACACGACUGAAGUGACUUAGCAGCAGCAGCAACAGCAGCGCUACCAAGUUUGUGCCGCCCAGAGGUUGAGAAAAGGAACCUGCCGGAUCAACAUCGACGAUGUUCUCGUUUCUCUAGGUACCGCUGCUGUCCUAAACCUCCCGGGAUCUUCCGCCCAUCCUGCCCAAGGCCUCUUCUGAUGGAGCAGACAGGGCGGCUUUUCAGGGCCCUGUUCAGCUGUACCUUCAUCUUAAGCAACGUAUGUGCAUUGAUGGAGCUUACCUGGUGCCAAGAGUGUGGUGAAAGGCAUGGAAAUACGGUGUGUGUGCAGAGAGAGCACUGGAGGAGUGUUGCUUCAAGCCUAAGCAAUCUCAGUGUAAGUUUGCUCUGUGUCCUUCCUUGCAAUCUCUGCACCUCAUCUAUGAACCCGCACUCAGGAGAUGGAAGCAGAGGAGCAGCACUGCAUUGACUUGCCCGAAGAAAUGUUCGACUGCACAAGCAUAGCCUUGGGAAGCAGCUUCCUGCCAGGGACAAGUACCUCUUGGUGGAGGCUGGAGCUGUGUCGAUGCUGACCUACUUGUCAGAGUCAAGGCCUGCAUGUGCUGAUGGCACGUGGACCGACACUCUGGGCUCACAGCCCACGCAGAGCCAAGAGGGGAGCCUCUUUCGCUGCGGUGCCCGUGGUAACAUCAGAAGCUUGCUUCGAAGCCAACACCAGCAAGGCCAUGCGUUGAUCUGAUUAAUCGGGGAACUCAGUUUUCACCACCCGGAGCUUUCCCACGGACAAAAGAGCCUAGCGAGCUACAGCCCUUGGGGUUGAAGAGUCAGACACGACGGAGUGACUAAGCAACAGCUUUCAUGAAGCCUUCAUGUGUGGCUCUCCCAGGAGCUCUGACAGCCUUCAGGAACAGAAUCUUCUAAAGAUGAAAGGUGGACUGUGUCUUUACUCAAAACACUUCUUGUGUUUCUGAAGAUCCCAAAGAAGUGGCAAUCAGUUGUUCUUGGGGAUUCUUUGAACUGGUGGAGUUAUCCAAAUGCAGGUAUUUAUAUGGAGAUUAAAAAGCAGAGACUUGACUU